rnacentral:rRNA from 1 species
CACGUAGGGACCAAGCGUUGUCCGGAAUCAUUGGGCGUAAAGCGCGCGUAGGCGGCCCGGUAAGUCCGUUGUAAAAGUCGAAGGCUCAACCUUCGAAAGCCGAUGGAUACUGCCGGGCUAGAGUACGGAAGAGGCGAGUAGAAUUCCUGGUGUAGCGGUGGAAUGCGCAGAUAUCAGGAGGAAUACCCAUAGCGAAGGCAGCUCGCUGGGACGUUACUGACGCUGAGGCGCGAAAGCGUGGGGAGCGAACAGG